rnacentral:tRNA from 1 species
GGGCGCGUAGCUCAAUGGCAGAGCAGUAGCCUUUUAAGCUAUUGGUUAAGGGUUCGAGCCCCUUCGCGCUCA